rnacentral:rRNA from 1 species
UUUCCGGUUGAUCCUGCCGCCGGCCACCGCUAUCAAGUUCCGACUAAGCCAUGCGAGUCAAGGUAUCGUAAGAUGCCGGCAAACUGCUCAGUAACACGUGGAUAAUCUAACCUUGAGUAAGGGAUAACCUCGGGAAACUGAGGAUAAUACCUUAUAAUUGCUUAAAACUGGAAUGUUUAAGCAAUAAAAGUUCCGACGCUCAAGGAUGAGUCUGCGACCUAUCAGGUAGUAGGUGGUGUAAUGGACCACCUAGCCUCAGACGGGUACGGGCCCUGGGAGGGGUAGCCCGGAGAUGGACUCUGAGACAUCAGUCCAGGCCCUACGGGGCGCAGCAGGCGCGAACACUGUGCAAUGCGCGAAAGCGCGACACGGGGAGCUUGAGUGUCUUGGCAUAGCCAAGACUUUUCUCAUUCCUAAAAAGCAUGAGGAAUAAGUGCUGGGUAAGACGGGUGCCAGCCGCCGCGGUAACACCCGCAGCACAAGUGGUGGUCACUUUUAUUGAGCCUAAAGCGUUCGUAGCCGGUUUUGUAAAUCUUUAGAUAAAGCCUGAAGCUUAACUCCAGAAAGUCUGAAGAGACUGCAAGACUUGAGAUCGGGUGAGGUUAAACGUACUUUCAGGGUAGGGGUAAAAUCCUGUAAUCCUGGAAGGACGACCAGUGGUGAAAACGUUUAACUAGAACGAAUCUGACGGUAAGGAACGAAGGCUAGGGUAGCAAACCGGAUUAGAUACCCGGGUAGUCCUAGCUGUAAACACUGCCCAUUUGAUGUUGCUUUUCCGUUGAGGGAAGGCAGUGUCGGAGCGAAGGUGUUAAAUGGGCCGCUUGGGAAGUAUGGUCGCAAGACUGAAACUUAAAGGAAUUGGCGGGGGAGCACCGCAACGGGAGGAAUGUGCGGUUUAAUUGGAUUCAACGCCGGA